ACAUGCCUACAACAUAACGUUAAUGCACCGAAUCCCAUUAAAACUCCAUAGUUAAGCGCGCUCAGGCUAGAGUAGUACAGGGAUGGGUGACCGCCCAGGAACUUCUAGUGUUUUACAUGCC
rfam:Picea glauca, whole genome shotgun sequence.